UUCCCAGUGGCUCACUCAGUAAAGAAUCUGCCUGCAAUGCAGAAGACCCUGGUUCAGUCUCUGGGUUGGGAAG
rnacentral:tRNA from 1 species